AUGACUACGAUGAUUCACCUGUGUAUGACGACGGGGAGACCUCGGCAGGCUGCAGACGUGGCCCAGCCAAUGGGGGGUGUCUCUGUGUUCGCCAUCUCCUUCCUCCUGCUGCCGUUGGUCUUGCUGGCGUGCACCUGCUGCAGCAGCAGAAAGUCCAGAAGUUCAGCUGUUGACACGAAGCAGGUGCCGCAUGCACAGCACAUCUUACAGUCGGCAGACUCAGCAGAAGCCGAGGGGUCCGGGGAAGACGAGGGCGUCACGGCAACCAAGCUACAGUGUCAACAAAUGGAUCUGCUGGGAGUGCAGCAAGGAGAGGAGCUGCAGAGAUCUGUGGCCCUGGCAGCCAGGCGGCUGCCCUCUCUACCCAGGCCCAGCGUAAGCUCUGCCGUGUACGACAUCGUGGAGGACAUGAGGGACGGGCGGCCUCCUGCAGAGCCCAGAACAGCCCUCGGGAAGACCUCCAGCUAUGGUACCGUGUACGCUGAUCUGCGGGAGAUGGACGAGAAGAGCUGUGGGACGGGAGCUGUGGGAGAUGCGUCCGGCGAUGUCCAGAACCCAGCUGGAGAGCAGGACUUCCCCGUGUAUGCCAUAGUGAAGAAGGGUGGUGUCCGGCAGGUCCAGUCGGAGCUCGUCCUGUAGAGCACUCGGAGGGACACGUCCUAGAGGACAAUCCAGACUGACUGUGGACAAACACAUAUUUUGUGAGGAAAAGUGUUGUCACAUUUACCGAAGCGAUCAGGCCAAAUGUUUUCCUUGAGAGUUCAGCGUAAAUCAGUUCUCCUCCCCAGUUUUGAAUAAAAGCCAUUUGUGUCCCUAGAACCA
rnacentral:lncRNA from 1 species